UACGUAGGGUGCAAGCGUUAAUCGGAAUUACUGGGCGUAAAGCGUGCGCAGGCGGUUAUGUAAGACAGGUGUGAAAUCCCCGGGCUUAACCUGGGAACUGCAUUGGUGACUGGCAGGCUAGAGUAUGGCAGAGGGGGGUAGAAUUCCACGUGUAGCAGUGAAAUGCGUAGAGAUGUGGAGGAAUACCGAUGGCGAAGGCAGCCCCCUGGGCCAAUACUGACGCUCAUGCACGAAAGCGUGGGGAGCAAACAGG
rnacentral:rRNA from 1 species